rnacentral:rRNA from 1 species
UACGUAGGGGGCAAGCGUUGUCCGGAUUUAUUGGGCGUAAAGAGCUCGUAGGCGGUUCAGCAAGUCGGGUGUGAAAAAUCUGGGCUCAACCCAGUGGAGCACCCGAUACUGCUGUGACUAGAGUCCGGUAGGGGAGUGUGGAAUUCCUGGUGUAGCGGUGAAAUGCGCAGAUAUCAGGAGGAACACCAACGGCGAAGGCAGCACUCUGGGCCGGUACUGACGCUGAGGAGCGAAAGCGUGGGGAGCGAACGGG